rnacentral:rRNA from 1 species
GACGAACGCUGGCGGCGUGCUUAACACAUGCAAGUCGAACGGAGUGGCGAACGGGUGAGUAACACGUGGGUGAUCUGCCUUGCACUUCGGGAUAAGCUUGGGAAACUGGGUCUAAUACCGGAUAGUGCAAGAUGAGCUCGCGGCCUAUCAGCUUGUUGGUGGGGUAAUGGCCUACCAAGGCGUCGACGGGUAGCCGGCCUGAGAGGGUGUACGGCCACAGUGGAACAGAGAGAGGGCCCAUGCUCCUGCGGGAGACAGCAGUAGAGGAUAAUGGACGAUGGGGAGAUGCCUGAUGCAGCGGCCCCGCGUGGGAGGUGGAGUGCUUCGGGUUGAAAGGACCUUUCAAAAGGGACGCGGUACCUGGAUAGGAAGCUCCGGCUAACUACAUGCCAGCAGCCGCGGUAAUAC